rnacentral:rRNA from 1 species
AUUGAACGCUGGCGGCAGGCCUAACACAUGCAAGUCGAGCGGAUGAAGGGAGCUUGCUCCUGGAUUCAGCGGCGGACGGGUGAGUAAUGCCUAGGAAUCUGCCUGGUAGUAGGGGAUAACGUCCGGAAACGGGCGCUAAUACCGCAUACGUCCUGAGGGAGAAAGUGGGGGAUCUUCGGACCUCACGCUAUCAGAUGAGCCUAGGUCGGAUUAGCUAGUUGGUGGGGUAAAGGCCUACCAAGGGGACGAUCCGUAACUGGUCUGAGAGGAUGAUCAGUCACACUGGAACUGAGACACGGUCCAGACUCCUACGGGAGGCAGCAGUGGGGAAUAUUGGGCAAUGGGCGAAAGCCUGAUCCAGCCAUGCCGCGUGUGUGAAGAAGGUCUUCGGAUUGUAAAGCACUUUAAGUUGGGAGGAAGGGCAGUAAGUUAAUACCUUGCUGUUUUGACGUUACCAACAAAAUAAGCACCGGCUAACUACGUG